AUUGAACGCUGGCGGCAGGCCUAACACAUGCAAGCCGAGCGGUAUUGUUUCUUCGGAAAUGAGAGAGCGGCGUACGGGUGCGGAACACGUGUGCAACCUGCCUUUAUCUGGAGGAUAGCCUUUCGAAAGGAAGAUUAAUACUCCAUAAUAUAUUAAUUGGCAUCAAUUGAUAUUGAAAACUCCGGUGGAUAGAGAUGGGCACGCGCAAGAUUAGCUAGUUGGUGAGGUAACGGCUCACCAAGGCAAUGAUCUUUAGGGGGCCUGAGAGGGUGAUCCCCCACACUGGUAUUGAGACGCGGACCAGACUCCUCCGGGAGGCAGCAGUGAGGUAUAUUGGUCAAUGGGUGCAAGUCUCAACCAGCCAUGCCGCUUGAAGGAUUAAGGUCCUAUGGAUUGUAAACUUCUUUUGUAUAGGGAUAACCCUACCCUCGUGAGGGUAGCUGAAGGUACUAUACGAAUAAGCACCGGCCAACUCCGUGCCAGCCGCCGCAGUAACAC
rnacentral:rRNA from 1 species